AGUAGAGCUUCAUUCUUGGGAGCGGGUAGAAGCAGAAACUCUGGAGCAGGAAGACCCCUUAUUUAAAAAUAACAGGCUUUGAUAGAUAGCCAGAGAAGUCACACAGGCAAUGACUGAGCUCCUCUCUAAUUAGGAUCUACGUAAGAAUUGUUCUGAAUGUGGAGAUGCCUUUUAUAGUAAGUGCUGAUUAUGCAGGAGGGCGGGAAUGCCUGUUGGGGAGGUUAUAGACUCGCACUUCAGACUGGAGUCUAUUACAAUUUUUUAAUGGCAUGCUUUCCAUUUCCAGCUUUUGUUUCCAGUUCUCUAAUUGCACAUUAAUAUUAAUCGCUGCUCUCUGAACAUUCAAGGGGAAAUAAGGAAAUUCACUAACUAAGGUAAAUCCACUCCAAAAUGCCCAGUCACUUCAUUGUUAUUAAUCAUGUAUACAGCACAAGAAUUCUACAGAGUGCUUUAGAAUCCUUAUCUCAUUCAUUCUAACUCUGAUAUGACAGGAGUGCUCCACUGUGCAUUUCUCAUGAGAGAUUAAAAAGAACGAAGAAAUUCUCGGAGGCUGACAAGGAAACUCUCUGCCCAGUCAUUCACAAGUGGAGGCAUUGCAGAAAAAGAAAGCACCAUGGGAUACAGGAGCAAAGGCAGAUUUUUGGCUACCGUAUAUGGAAGCAUCUUUCCUGAUCACAAUUUAACACGAAUAGGUGUGUUUUAAAAGGGGUCUAAGGACAAAGUCAUUUUAUGUAUUUUACAGUGGAAUCCACUGUAUGUCAACUGAGAAGUAAAUUGCACUCAGCUGAAUUAUUCUUACUCAUUGUGUAUAGGAUGGUCAGCCAGAUAUGGCUGUUUCAGUUCUGGUGUUUUACUGUAAUAGGAAAUCAAAACAGUAAAGACAGCAUUUCUUUCUGA